rnacentral:rRNA from 1 species
UACGAAGGGGGCUAGCGUUGCUCGGAAUUACUGGGCGUAAAGGGCGCGUAGGCGGAUAUUUAAGUUGGGGGUGAAAUCCCGGGGCUCAACCUCGGAAUUGCCUUCAAAACUGUAUAUCUUGAGUUCGGGAGAGGUGAGUGGAACUCCGAGUGUAGAGGUGAAAUUCGUAGAUAUUCGGAAGAACACCAGUGGCGAAGGCGACUCACUGGCCCGAUACUGACGCUGAGGCGCGAAAGCGUGGGGAGCAAACAGG